GCUAAUAACCGGAUAACAACAGAUGAUGCCUAUCAACUGUUUAAAAGAUGGUUCUGCUAUCACUCUUGGAUGGACCUGCGGUGCAUUAGCUAGUUGGUAGGGUAACGGCCUACCAAGGCGAUGAUGCAUAGCCGAGUUGAGAGACUGAUCGGCCACAUUGGACUGAGACACGGCCCAAACUCCUACGGGAGGCAGCAGUG
rnacentral:rRNA from 1 species